GAUGAACGCUGGCGGCGUGCCUAAUACAUGCAAGUCGAGCGAACAGACGAGGAGCUUGCUCCUCUGACGUUAGCGGCGGACGGGUGAGUAACACGUGGAUAACCUACCUAUAAUACUGGGAUAACUUCGGGAAACCGGUGCUAAUACCGGAUAAUAUAUUGAACCGCAUGGUUCAAUAGUUAAAGACGGUUUUGCUGUCACUUAUAGAUGGAUCCGCGUCGCAUUAGCUAGUUGGUAAGGUAACGGCUUACCAAGGCAACGAUGCGUAGCCGACCUGAGAGGAUGAUCGGCCACACUGGAACUGAGACACGGUCCAGACUCCUACGGGAGGCAGCAGUAGGGAAUCUUCGGCAAUGGGCGAAAGCUUGACGGAGCAACGCCGCGUGAGUGAUGAAGGUCUUCGGAUCGUAAAACUCUGUUAUUAGGGAAGAACAAAUGUGUAAGUAACUAUGCACGUCUUGACGGUACCUAAUCAGAAAGCCACGGCUAACUACGUG
rnacentral:rRNA from 1 species